UGGGGAAUAUUGCGCAAUGGGCGAAAGCCUGACGCAGCGACGCAGCGUGAGGGACGAAGGCCUUCGGGUUGUAAACCUCUUUCAGCGGGGACGAAGCGAAAGUGACGGUACCCGCAGAAGAAGCACCGGCUAACUACGUGCCAGCAGCCGCGGUAAUACGUAGGGUGCAAGCAUUGUCCGGAUUUAUUGGGCGUAAAGAGCUCGUAGGCGGCUUGUCACGUCGGAUGUGAAAACUCGGGGCUCAACCCCGAGCCUGCAUUCGAUACGGGCUAGCUAGAGUGUUGCAGGGGAGACUGGAAUUCCUGGUGUAGCGGUGAAAUGCGCAGAUAUCAGGAGGAACACCGGUGGCGAAGGCGGGUCUCUGGGCAACUACUGACGCUGAGGAGCGAAAGCGUGGGGAGCGAACAGG
rnacentral:rRNA from 2 species